UACGUAGGGUGCAAGCGUUAAUCGGAAUUACUGGGCGUAAAGCGUGCGCAGGCGUAUUUGUAAGUCUGUCGUGAAAGCCCCGGGCUCAACCUGGGAAUUGCGAUGGAGACUGCAAGGCUUGAAUCUGGCAGAGGGGGGUAGAAUUCCACGUGUAGCAGUGAAAUGCGUAGAGAUGUGGAGGAACACCGAUGGCGAAGGCAGCCCCCUGGGUCAAGAUUGACGCUCAUGCACGAAAGCGUGGGGAGCAAACAGG
rnacentral:rRNA from 1 species